rnacentral:rRNA from 1 species
GACGAACGCUGGCGGCGUGCUUAACACAUGCAAGUCGAACGGAAAGGCCCUGCUUUUGUGGGGUGCUCGAGUGGCGAACGGGUGAGUAACACGUGAGUAACCUGCCCUUGACUUAGGGAUAACUUCAGGAAACUGGGGCUAAUACCGGAUAGGAGCUCCUGCUGCACGGUGGGUGUUUGAAAGUUUCGGCGGCUGGGGAUGGACUCGCGGCUUCUCAGCUUGUUGGUGGGGUAGUGGCUUACCAAGGCUUUGAAGCGUAGCUGGCCUGAGAGGGUCACCGGCUUCACUGGUACUGAGCUACGCCCCACACUCCUACGGGAGGCAGCAGUGGGGAAUAUUGCCCACUGGGCCGAGGCAUGCCGCAGCAAGGCAGCGUGUGGAAUGUCGGCCGUCGGGUUGUAACCCGCUUUGGACUGUGACGAAGCCUGAGUGACGGUACUGGGUAAAGAAGCACCGGCUAACUCCGUG